AAAUCAAGUGAAAAUUUCUUUUUUCCAACAAGUAAAGCAAGUAGUUUACAAGUGAGUAACAAAAAUGAUAGAAAUGUAAACGGCCCCUCGGGCAAAACAUGUACAACAAACUGCCCCUCGAGCAUAAUAUCAACAGAACCAGCCCCUCGGGCUCAAUAUCAGAACAGUGCCAGCCCCUCGGGCUCAAUAUCAGAACAGUAACAGCCCAUCGGGCUCAAUAUCAGAUCAGUAACAGCCCCUCGGGCUAACUCUCAGAAUAGUAUCAGCCACUCGGGCUACCUCACAAUCACUCAUAUCAGCCUCUCGGGCAUAGUAUCAAUCACUCAGAACAAUGGGUACCCGCGCUCACUAUGGGUGUGCAGACUCCGGAGGGGCCCCUUACGGCCCAAGCGCAAUAUCAAGCCACCUCGUGGAAUCAUCCCUCAGCAUAUCCUCACAUCACUCAAGCCACCACGUGCAUAUAAAGUAUCUCAGGCCCUCGGUCUCACAUCACUCAAGCCACCACGUGGCAUAUAAAGUAUCUCAGGCCCUCGGCCUCAUAUCACUCGGCAUAUCCUCACAUAUGGCCCUUGGCCACACUCAGUCCGGAAAUCAUCAUAAGCCCCUCGGGCAUUUGUAAAACAGUAGUUCCCAGCCCAAAAUACCAUUUAGAAAUAUCAUUUGAGUUUUAAAAUCUGCAUAAAAGCGGCUGAGUUUGUAAAACAAUAAUUAUAAACAGGACUGAGUUUAAAUAUAAGUCAAAACAGUGAGGAAAUAGUGAUAAAAAUUCUCGAAGGAUUCAAAUAAUUGGCACGAAGCCCAAGUAUGGCAAUCAGCCCAAAUCAUGAUGAUAACAAAUAAGUUUCAAUCAAAUAUGCGUAAAAUCAUCAAUCGGGAUGGACCAAGUCACAAUCCCCGGUAGUAAAAUACCCCGCGCUCAUCAUCCAGCGCGUGUCUCACCUUAAUAUAGCACUACGAUGUGCAAAUCCAGGGUUUCAAACCCUUAGGACAUCAUUUACAAUCAUUACUCACCUCGAACCGGCUAAUCCUCUAGCUCGCGAUGCCUUUUUCUCUCAAAUCGACCUCCAAAUUCUCGAAUC
rnacentral:lncRNA from 1 species